CAGCAGCCGCGGUAAUACAGAGGGUGCGAGCGUUAAUCGGAUUUACUGGGCGUAAAGCGUGUGUAGGCGGCUAAUUGAGUCGGAUGUGAAAUCCCCGAGCUUAACUUGGGAAUUGCAUUCGAUACUGGUUAGCUAGAGUGUGGGAGAGGAUGGUAGAAUUCCAGGUGUAGCGGUGAAAUGCGUAGAGAUCUGGAGGAAUACCGAUGGCGAAGGCAGCCAUCUGGCCUAACACUGACGCUGAGGUACGAAAGCAUGGGGAGCAAACAGGAUUAGAUACCCGAGUAGUCCCUGUCUCUUAUAC
rnacentral:rRNA from 1 species